UGGUUGGAAACUGACCACUUCUGGUGUAUGCGUCAGAGACAAUGAGCAUGUGUCUGGAGCUCUGAGGUCCAG
rnacentral:snoRNA from 1 species